rnacentral:rRNA from 1 species
UUCCGGUUGAUCCCGCCGGAGGUCACUGCUAUUGGAGUUCGAUUAAGCCAUGCGAGUCGAGAGGGUUCGGCCCUCGGCGGACGGCUCAGUAACACGUGGGUAAUCUACCCUCAGGACAGGGAUAACCCCGGGAAACUGGGGAUAAUACUUGAUAGGUGGAGAUGUCUGGAAUGAUUCUUCACUCAAAGCUCCGGCGCCUGAGGAUGAGCCUGCGCCUGAUUAGGUUGUUGGCGGUGUAAUGGACCACCAAGCCAAAGAUCAGUACGGGCAGUGAGAGCUGUAGCCCGGAGAUGGGGGCUGAGACACGGCCCCAGGCCCUACGGGGCGCAGCAGGCGCGAAAACUCCGCAAUGUUCGAAAGAACGACGGGGGAACUCCAAGUCCGCUUGCGCAAGCAAGUGGUUUUUAGUAGUGUAAAAAGCUAUUAGAAUAAGAGCUGGGUAAGACCGGUGCCAGCCGCCGCGGUAACACCGGCAGCUCGAGUGGUGACCGCUUUUAUUGGGCCUAAAGCGUUCGUAGCCGGUCCAGUAAGUCUUUGGGCAAAUCUUCUCGCUUAACGAAAAGAAUUCCGAAGAUACUGCUGGACUUGGGGCCGAGAGAGGUUGGAGGUACUCCUGGGGUAGGGGUGAAAUCCUAUAAUCCUGGGGGGACCGCCAGUGGCGAAGGCGUCCAACCAGAGCGGACCCGACGGUGAGGGACGAAAGCCAGGGGCGCGAACGGGAUUAGAUACCCCGGUAGUCCUGGCUGUAAACGUUGCAUGCUAGGUGUUGCAUGCUCUACGGGGGCAUGCAGUGCCGAAGAGAAGUUGAUAAGCGUGCCGCCUGGGAAGUAUUAUCGCAAGGUAGAAACUUAAAGGAAUUGGCGGGGGAGCACCACAAGGGGUGGAGUCUGCGGUUCAAUUGGAUUCAACGCCGGA